rnacentral:rRNA from 1 species
ACAAGUACCGUGAGGGAAAGUUGCAAAGCACUUUGAAGAGAGAGUUAAAGAGGACGUGAAACCGGUAAGGUGGAAACGGAUAGAGUCGGCGUAUCAUUCAAUUAUUCAGUUACAUUAUUUUUAUGUUGUGACCUCUGAGCUCCAGAUUGGGACAGAGGGAAUCAGCAUAAUUUUUUGUGGUGCAUUUACUUGAUUGGUGCUUGGGGAUGUUUGAGGCAGAUUUGUUUCCGUCGUUUUGAGGCCAGCUUGCUGGUACCCAAACGGUGUUAGCAUUUUUUGUCUUGGGCAUUUGAGUAUGGCUUACGGGUAUUUAUUGGACAGAUCUGAGUGUAAGUUACGGUCGCAUGCGACACGUGCUUUUCAAUUAGUUCGGUCCAGUUAAUGCUCUCGUACUCGUUCCCCAUGUAAAAGCCGGUCAUCUAUCCGACCCGUCUUGAAACACGGACCAAGGAGUUUAUCGUGUGCGCAAGUUUUUGGGUGUUAAAAACUUAAAAGCGAAAUGAAAGUAAAUGACUCUUUAGAGUCUGAUGUGCGAUCUUGUAAAAAAGUGUAGCAUGGCCCCAUUCUAACUGUUUACAGUAGGGUGGCGGAAGAGCGUACGCGGUGAGACCCGAAAGAUGGUGAACUAUUCCUGAGCAGGACGAAGCCAGAGGAAACUCUGGUGGAAGUCCGAAGCGGUUCUGACGUGCAAAUCGAUCGUCUGACUUGGGUAUAGGGGCGAAAGACUAAUCGAACCAUCUAGUAGCUGGUUCCUUCCGA